rnacentral:lncRNA from 1 species
GAAGCUGGGUGUUCAAAGGGUGUGAGAAGGGACCAAGACCCGCAUCUUCUGGGCAAAGUUUUCGGGGAGAUGGAAGGAGAGAGGGUCGGGACUGAGUUGCUGGUCUUGGGGACAGAGCAGCCGGAGCUGCGCACCAAGGCUUAGAGUCGGGCGGGAGAUGCGGGGAGAGGGAGGGGGCGGGGAGGGAGGGGAGGGAGAGAGGAGGAAGGGGUGAGAGGGAGAAACCUGCCGCGGCUCUCCGCCUCUUUGUCUGCUCUGGGACUUGGAACAAAAGGGGAAACUCUGAUGAACUCCUUCUCCAGCUCCCUGGACGCCCGAGUAUCUCUUUCUCGCAACUUUGUCAACGCGACUUUCUCCGCUGUCAGGCUGCGCAAAAGUAUCCUAGCGCCUCGCAGGCUGCAACAAUGGAAACAAUGUCCCUUCAAAGUGCGACGAAGUGGAGGGAGAAGGUGUCAUACCAGCGACUCCAAGAGUCAUGUCACCCACUUAGCAGGAGUACUUCUACUGAAAUGCCUUCGAAUUUCUCUUACUGGAUAUAUACCUACCAGCCGCUAGCAUGAAGAUGCCAGGACCGCUGCAAGUUAGCACUGGACAAAGUAGCAUCAACUUCUUCAUUUAGAGUUUCUUCAGUUAAAUUGCUGGGAUUUUCGACAAGGCUUUCCUUAUGUGGAUUAUUGGAGUGUGAUGCCCGAGAAUUCUCUACUUGUAGAAGCACGCCCACGGGACUGCAGAAGCCUUCACACCCACCCAGCACGCUCAGAUGGGAAUGAGUGAUGGCCAUCCAGUGACCAGCUGGAUCUGACUGCCUUACAAGACGCAUGUGUAUGAUUAAGAGAGAGACAUUCGUGACUCCCAGAUGUACCUCCUUCCUGUCCCACAGUGUUCCUGAAGGGAGUGAGUUAUGGGGUAACUUAUAACACAGCAGGCUCUUCCUCAAGAUAGCUCUUGUCAAAACAGGAAGACGAAACUCGGGUUUCCAUGAGGAGACCACAGCUUGGGAUCCUGUCUGGAUGUACAAGCAGAAGCAUCUUCAUACUUUUCCAUUUCUAACCAUCAUGCCUCACCCCACCCUCCCAAGGCGACAUCUGCAGAGAGGUGGAACCAUCUAGGGAGGCCUGCCACUGUUUGCUGAGCUCCGGGUGAGGAUGAAGACACUUUGACAUGGCCAGCUUCAGACUCGGGAUCUGUCGGUGUUAGCAGCCGAAGGAGAAUGAGGAGGAAGAGGAGGAGAAAGAGGAGGAGGAAGUAAGACAGAGGGGGACAAGAGGACCAAGAGGGCACAUGGCUGAGGAGGAGGAGAACAACAACAACAACAACAACAACAACAACAACAAGAAGCUUGGUGUUUUCAGGAUGUGUUCCUGAGUCUCGUGAGUAGCACAUGGCAGUUGUUGUCACCUUGGGCUGAGCCGUGAAGAUUCUCACCCUCCCUUGUUGGGGAUGAACUCCGGGAUUCUAAGGAGAGGUCAGCAGGUGUUUCACAGACUGUUCCUGUUGGAGGAUUUGUCUGAUACUCUUCUCCUGAUUAGUCUGGGCUCUACAUUUCCCCAAGGGUGAAACUUGGAAGCCCUCUCCAGGAUGCAGCAGGUAGCUGAGGAGAAAACGAAGACUGACCAGCCCAGAGCUCAGAGCUUCCUCCCAUGCUCAGGAUUUACCACCAAUGCCAUUACAUCGGCCUCUUCUUGUAUGCCUCUGGAAACCACAUGUGUCCUCUGUUUGUAAUGGUUUGGCUAUGGUUGCUGGCCCCUCUUGGACAUUGUUUUCAGAACUUAAAGAAACAUUGCUUUAAAGAUUUAUUAGAACAUAUUUAAAAUAAAACCAUCUUCUCAUUUAGUAUGCAAUUGAUUCUUCCCAUUUCCUCAGUCAAAACUCAUUGAUCAAAUUUAUUUGAGAAAUCCAGACAUGUAUAUAGCGUAUUGGGGUUAUUCCCAUCCUCCCCCAUAUUCUCUUAUCUCCCUUCCAGCCCUGACGCCCUCAGUCCUCCCUAUGGGCCUAUUCACACAAUCAUGUCUUUUUGUUUUAUGAACCAUUGAUUUUAACCGGGGCCAUCUGUGUUGCCAUGGCUUUAGAAUUAUCUACUGGAACUGGUUGGCUCAAAAUAGACAAAGACUUUCCCUUCCCCCAAGUCCAUCAUAGCUAGGAAUUCAGUCCCUCCGGUCCCCUCCCCAAUUCAUAAUUGACUGUUAGAAAGCCUAGUUUAAUGCAGGCCCUGUGUAGGUACCCAUAGCUACUGUGAGGUCACACCUGAAGAUGUGAAGCCCUUUUCCCUGUCUUCCAUUUCCACUUCUGUGUUCCCUGAGCCCUAGAUGGGAUAGUAUGAAUGUUCUGAUAAUCCGACCAAGUGGUAGUAUAUGUGUUCACUUAGAUAAAACAAAGACAAUACCAAUAGGAAAUGUAUUAUAAGCCCUGCACAUGCUAAAAAUAUAUGUAGCAAAUAACAUUAUUAUAUAAAUUCAGGGUCAUUGCUCUAUGUCAAUGUCAGUGACGUAUCAGUUUCAAAGGAUUUAUAUCACUGUUAAGUUAGAAAUAAUCCACUCUUGCUUGUUGUACAGUGCAUUUGUCCAGAUAGCCUACAAAAA